rnacentral:rRNA from 1 species
GACGUAGGGCGCGAGCGUUUGUCCGGAAUUAUUGGGCGUAAAGGGCUCGUAGGCGGUCUGUCACGUCGGGAGUGAAAACUCAGGGCUUAACCCUGAGCCUGCUUCCGAUACGGGCUGACUAGAGGUAUGCAGGGGAGAACGGAAUUCCUGGUGUAGCGGUGAAAUGCGCAGAUAUCAGGAGGAACACCGGUGGCGAAGGCGGUUCUCUGGGCAUUACCUGACGCUGAGGAGCGAAAGUGUGGGGAGCGAACAGG